AGCACCAAGUCUUGGCAUCCUUGUCAAAAAUCAGUUGAUGAUCGACAUAUCGGUUUAUCUCUGGACUCUCAGUUCUUUUACAUUGAUCUGUAUGUCUGUCCUUGUGCCAGUACUGCAUGUUUUUUUGUAGUAAGUUUUUAAGUCAGGAAAUGUGAGAAUAUCCCCUUUUAUAGAUAAGGACACUGGGGCUCAGGAAGGCAACAUGACUGACUGGAGGCAGAGGGGUUGCCCUGAGUCCCGGCAGGAGGAGCUGAGGUGAUGGGAUGAAUGCAGUGGGUUGGCCAGUGGUCCUGUUUCCCAGAGGGCGGGCUUCAGGAGUGAGCAACCAGGCUGUCCAUGUCCCCUAGAGCAGCAGGAAAAGGCCCUCCCCUGGACUACUUCUGUCUGAGGGCAGUGUGGGGCCUGUCAGCCUUCACAGAGGCCUGGCGUCUCAGAGGCCAAGGGCUUCUGGCCCACAGCUCUGUGCUGCAGCGAGGUGGCUGGGUGGUGGCCGGUCAGCCUACAGCGGCCACUUAGAGAAGAGCCCCUCUCGGGGACCUUUAGGGCCCACUCUCACUGUGUCCCCUCUGGCUUCCUCCUCCCCCCUUUGCAGUGGUUGGAUCGCAGCCCUGUCUACACUGAAGCAGCGCCACUUGGCUGUGUCGAUCAUCAUGAUGGUGGUGGCUGGCUUCUUCACCCUGUGCGCCGGGCUCUCACUCUUCCUUCUGAAGCGGGUGCACUCCCUGUACCGCCGGACGGGGGCCAGCUUCCAGCAGGCCCAGGAGGAGUUUUCCCAGGGAAUCUUCAGCAGUAGGACCUUCCGCAGCACUGCCUCAUCUGCUGCCCGAGGAGCCUUCCCGGGGAACUAGUCCUCCUGACUCUCCUUUGUCUGCCCCAGCCUCUUCUCUUGCCUGCCUUCUAGCUGCACUUUCUGUGGGUGCCUUAAACAGUGGUUAUGCCCAGCACAGACCUGGGGAGGGUCUUGCUCGGUCCUUCCUCCUCCCUCAGCCACCAGCUCUCCAUUCUGCCUGAGGGGAGGGGAGGGAGGGACAGGGACUAUUUUUUUUUUUUUACACAAGAGAAAAAAGAAAAAAAAAGCUGUCUUUCCUUCUCUGGUGGUGGUUUGGUAGGUUCGAAGCAGUGGGACUGUAGUUCACUUCCCCUUAUACGUGUACACACACACAUACACACAUGCGCAUCACAUACACAUACACACUUGCAAUCACCAGCUGACCUGGGCCCAUGCCAGCUGGAGUUUUAUUUCUGCCAGGAUCCUGGGACUCCACUCCUCCCCCAGUAGGCCUGGCCUGAAUCUGGCUCCACACACUCAGCCUGUGGCUUCCACAGUCCUGCCUUUCCUUCCUGCCCAGACUGGGUGGUCUCCCAAGGGCUCCCCUUUACAUGAGCUGCAGUCCAGGUGGAUGGAGAGCUCUGUUCCCCAGAUCACUCUGAGGUGGUCUCUGGGCUUCCAGAGCCUCUGGCAUGGUUGCUCCCAGGCUCUUCCCUGCCUUAUGUUUCUCACAGAUUUAUAGCCCUUUAGUACCCCCUGCACCUUCCUGGUGUGGGAGGCACGUGUGCCCUCUGGGGUCCUCUCUGAGCCCUCUCCCCUCUGUAGACUUACUGAAUGUGCAGUGGGGUUGGCUGGGAUUUGGGGAUGGGGAGGGAUGGAGGAUGUUGACCCCAAAUAGUCCUGUCCAGCCUUUGACAGUUGUCUAGGAAGGUGGAGUCUGACUGUCCUGGUGUGGUUUGGCCCUGUUUUGAUUUCCUCCUGAGGGACUGUGGCCCAUUGCCGUGGCCUCAGAUUCUACCCCACUCUGCCUUCUCCCCUCCAGCAAUCUCAUGUGUAUGACUCUUCCGGGGGGGGGCACCGAAGAAUCAGUCCAGAACUGCAUCCCUCAUGCUGGACUGAUGAGCCACUUUUCAGAGGGUUCUCCCAUAUCCCCAGUAGAACCUAGGUCACCUGUCACUGGCCCUGGGGAUUCCUCAGGUGUGUCAGUGUGAUGGGCACUUGGGAUGACACCGAUAAAACCACCCUGUCCUCUAAAGGCUGUAUACAGGGGUGGGUGUGUGGACUGAAGGGACUUCUCAAAAAGCUGGCCAACUGCCUGCCUCUGGGACCUGGGGCCCACCCUGAGGCAGCGUGCAGACUCCCAGCGCACUCAGCCCCAGAGCCACUGAAUGAUCAUGGCAGUGACCAAGGUUUUGUAAACUUUCUGGUAUUUUUUUCUUCCUGUACAAAUGUAUAUGUUAUGUCUCAAUUUUUGUGCUUUAAAUAAAAACAAGACAUUUUCAGACAA